rnacentral:rRNA from 1 species
GAUGAACGCUGGCGGCGUGCCUAAUACAUGCAAGUCGAGCGAAUGGAUUAAGAGCUUGCUCUUAUGAAGUUAGCGGCGGACGGGUGAGUAACACGUGGGUAACCUGCCCAUAAGACUGGGAUAACUCCGGGAAACCGGGGCUAAUACCGGAUAACAUUUUGAACCGCAUGGUUCGAGAUUGAAAGGCGGCUUCGGCUGUCACUUAUGGAUGGACCCGCGUCGCAUUAGCUAGUUGGUGAGGUAACGGCUCACCAAGGCAACGAUGCGUAGCCGACCGGAGAGGGUGAUCGGCAACAUUGGGACUGAGACACGGCCCAGACUCCUACGGGAGGCAGCAGUAGGGAAUCUUCCGCAAUGGACGAAAGUCUGACGGAGCAACGCCGCGUGAGUGAUGAAGGCUUUCGGGUCGUAAAACUCUGUUGUUAGGGAAGAACAAGUGCUAGUUGAAUAAGCUGGCACCUUGACGGUACCUAACCAGAAAGCCACGGCUAACUACGUGCCAGCCGCCGCGGUAA